rnacentral:misc_RNA from 1 species
GGCACAUAAAGCCCUGACAAUAUAAUUUGCAGCAAGUUAAUCAACUGUUUUCAGAUUAAACUAAAUAAAGGUAACUGUGGUGGCAAUUCUCUUCUUGAUAAAUCAACUUUGUAUUGCUCAAUUAUGAGCUGACAACUUAAAGUAUCAGAAUUAGCAACUUUUGAGCCACACUAAAGGCAAAGUCCAAAAUAUAAGAUUUUCAUUGACAGAGAGUGGGAAUGCUUAGGCUUUGAUUAAGAUCUUUCCCAGUUGCAGGACUAAAUUUGUCAGGUCCACUUGCUUGUACAUGUUAAAUUUGUAGACUUUUGUCAUGGUUGGAGGAUUCUUUGUUAUUUUCUUUUUACGUUUAUUAUAUACUAGUUUGAGUCUAGUGGAUUUCAUAGUCCAAUACCUGCUGCAUUAUUUGUGGAAACU